rnacentral:rRNA from 1 species
AUGGAAAACGGCGGGCAGUCCGAGCACACCAUUGAUCUGCCCAACACUGGAAAUCAUUUGAGUGAAAGCAGCAAUGAUGGGUUUGGCAUGGGUACUAACAGCACUAGGCAAGAUUCAGUUAAUGGAUUGUCCAGCAGGUAUUUGUUACCCAGCAGUAGCCCUGAACAAAUCCCUGUUGAUUUUGAGCUCCUGUGGAGACUGCGGAAGUAUUUAGUACUGCUUGGAGUCUUAGCAGUUAGUGUGACAUACAAUGCUGGAUUAACACCACCAGGGGGAUCUUGGACACUAAACACGGAUGGCCAUGAUGCUGGUGACCCUGUCCUGCAUGUUGGCUACUCUCUAAGAUAUGAGGUGUUCUUUUACUGCAACGCAACAGCCUUUGCUGCAUCUCUUGUCUUAGUCAUCUUGCUUUUAAGUAAGAGUGUGACGAAGCGGAAUAUAUGGCUCCGUUCAAUGCAAUUGACCAUGCUGCUGGACUUAUUUAGCCUGCUGGGGGCCUUCACUGCUGGAAGCUGCAGGGCACGGAAGUCAUCCAUUUACAUCUGGAUUCUAGUCAUUGCUGUUUUUGUGUAUGUUGUGAUUCAUACCCUAGUAUCCAGAAGGGUUAUUCCAAAAUCAUUGAGAAAUAGGCUGCAAAAAUUGAUGGAUAAAAUUCGAUCCAGACGCGGUGGCAGUGGCAGUUCCACAGAAGCAAGCAGCAAUCCAGAGGAAGAUGUUGAGGAGGAUCGUAAGUUCAUAUUGAUGCUUGCAACUUUUGCUGCUACUAUCACAUACCAAGCCGGAUUGAAUCCACCUGGAGGCUUUUGGGCUGAAAAUCCUUCUUACAAGCAUCCUCCAGCUACCUCUAUUCUCCGCAGUAACUACCUUCACCGGUAUAAUAUUUUUAUUAGCUGCAAUGCGACUUCUUUUGUGGCAUCUUUGGUCACAAUCAUUCUUCUUCUGAGCCCAGAAUUGAGUAGCCAUGGAAUAAGGUCCAAAGCCGUGAUUGUGUGCGUCGUAUUUGACCUAUUUGGUCUGAUUGGGGCCUAUGCUGCAGGGUGCUGUAGGAGUGUAAGGACAUCUUUCUUUGUUGUGUUCAUUACUGUCAUAGUAUGGGUCUGCUUUGCGGUGGUAGCUGCGGCAUUUGUUUACAAACCUGUAGCGGACUGGCUGCAAAAGAUCAAAGGUCAUAAGUGCUUCAAUAAAAUUGGUCGUCUCUUUUCACUGGAAUCAGGUAAAAAAAUAUCAGGAAAUUCUGAGCAAGUUCAUUCUCAUGCCACUGGUCAGCAUACUACAGACCUUGCAACAGUUACGCCAGAAGAAGGCAGUGCUUCUGAAACAGAAAACCGAGUUCAAAACAUCAAAGAGGAUGGAAUCCUUAGGGAGCAUCAGCAUGCAGACAGCCAGCAAAUUGCAAAUAAUGAGGAGGCUGAGCCCAGCUCGGAGCAACCAUCGGUCAAUGACCCGCAACCAGGAAAUACCACAAAUAUUAUGCACAACCCAGAGGAUCAGUGUAUAGACUGCCAAUCAGUUGCAGAUGAUGCAGUCUCUGACACAGGACAUCCUUCAGUCAAAUGCCACCAAGCUACAAAUACUGUGAAUCAAAUGCCUAGCACUGAUAAUCAUUCCACAGACAAUCAGCAAGAUGCAAAUAAGAAGGAACAGCUGUCUCCAAAUAAUGGCCCAAACACUGCAAAUAUUGUUGACUAUAUGCCCAAUAAGCAAGUUGCAGAUACGAAAGGUCAAUCUUCAUCAAAUGAUGAAUGCAAGGAUGCAGUUAUUGUAGUGGAUGAUUCGUCUGAACAAACAACAUCAGAUAAUCAUUGUCAUGGAGCCACCAGCGAUCACCCAGUACAGCAAGUGCAUUCUGAUGGGCCUAUGGGAGCCAGUGAGAUUGAGAUGGUUGGAAGUAAUAACACUGUUGUGUCUUCCGAGAAUGGCAAUGUUGACAAGAAAGGAGAUCCCACUGAAGAUAGCAGCAAAAAGAAUUCUGAUGACAGACCAACGUCGGAGCAUCUGAAGAAGUCCCGCACAUACUUACUUCUUCUUGCCAUUCUGGCAGUUUCUCUGACAUAUCAAUCAGGUUUGAAUCCGCCAUGUGGCUUCUGGUCAAGAACAGAGAAUGAUCAUUCAGCUGGUGAUCCCAUCCUUGAGGACACUCACCAUCAGCGUUAUAUUGCAUUCUUCUAUCUGAAUGCAGUCGCGUUUGUUGCAUCCUUUGUCAUGAUCAUUAUGCUCCUGAACAAGAGGAUAAGCGAGAAGGCUACAAAACGAUUUGCUCUGCAGAUAGCAAUGAUAGUGGACCUUCUUGCCCUAAUGGGGGCUUAUGUUAUGGGAAGCUCCAGGGAGGCAAGGAAUUCCAUGUACAUCUCAUUGUUGGUGGGCCUUGUACCUGCUUAUGUCGGUAUCCAUCUUUUGAUAGCACAUGUAAUCCCUGAAGGGUGGAAAAAAGUGGUGGCUGAAAAGCUAAAGCUGUUCUUAUGCAAACAUUUGUGGCGCGAACCUCAUCAGGCCGUAGAAAACCAGACUGGGGAUGUCGACGGGAAGGAGUGGGAGCGGAGGCAAUCCAAUCCUUCAGCACAAUCAUUCAAAACGCUAUGA